AGCAACAGUAGUGUAGUGGUUUGCACAUUGGACUAUGACCAGAGAGACCUGGGUUCAAUUCCCUGCUUAGCUA